rnacentral:sRNA from 1 species
GCCAGGCAUGGUGGUGCAUGCCUGUAAUCCCAGUGGCUUGGGAGGCUAAGGCAGGAGGAUUGUUGAAUUCAAAACCAGCCUGUGCAAUUUAGCAAGCCCCUAAGCAACUUAGUGAGACCCUGUCUCAA